UCUCACAUUUGAACAGGUACGUAGGGCUCGAGUCGAGUACUGAGUGUGCCGCACUGUUUCCUCCCAAAUUCCCAAUCCUCCCUCGCGAGCACCUUCCAGCCAGGGCUGUUGCUCUCCGAGUCUCCCACUCGAGCAUCCUCGACGGUGUGGGAGCUGUCGAAGCAAGCAAUGGGAGUGCCCGCGACCCCUGCAGAUCUCACCGGCAAAGUGUGAGUACCACGGACCGCAUCGCAUCGCGCCCGUGUUGAUUCUGCGUGGGCUGCGACUGGGUGGCAGCCUAUGCCGGGCGCUGGCGUGUGGCCGCAGGGUUGUUGUGUCGUGCACGCGAGGUGUUCGGGGCAUUGCACGAGUCAACCAGAGCGGUCUCCCUUGGCAUGGAUGGAGGGGCGACAUCGGUGUGAGGCUAACUCUGGCACGGCAUGGGACUGAGAAUAUCUAGCAACGGCCACAGGGCUACAACAAGAACACACUUGAAGUCAAGGUGGUGCCAUAUCUUCUCAGGAUUAGGAAGCAGAGACUGAAAAGGGUAGCAAUCUGAGUUAAGCACAUCUCUUCUUAGCAGAACUCUUCUUUUGUAUUGGAGGGUACAGUGGUAUAUAGCGGCAUGCUGUUAAUUUCUACGGUUGUCUCGCCUUUUGACAACGUGCAGGUCCGAUCGAGAGAACUGAAGAAGGUGUAGGAUGUAUUAAAGGCUGGGAGAGACGUCUCAUGCUCUCCUUGCUUCAGCUGGAUUCUUGGUGGUGGAUAUUGGCAUGCGGAAUGCAUUCCCAGAUUUCGCUGCGCAGACUCGUAACGACAUUCUUAUGUGCAAAAAGAGUUCUGAGUGUACGACCCCUUCUAUGCGGCAACCCCCAUUUGAAAAAAAGCAUCCUUUCCACUGACCUUUUCUUCUGUUUGCUUUGUUGACGUCAUCAUCUUUUUUCCCUGGACGUCAGUCAGAACUGUGGUCACCUAGUCACCUCUAACUACCGUAGUACUACAUGCCCAGUGUAGUGUUCGGUUAGUGUUAUAUUCUGAUUUCUGACUGUAUGAUAUCUGCAGUGUGCUGCUGUCGGCAGAAGUUUGUUAUGAUAAUGGUGAUGUAUUUUCUUUUA